rnacentral:rRNA from 1 species
UUUCCAGACUCCUACGGGAGGCAGCAGUGGGGAAUAUUGCACAAUGGGGGAAACCCUGAUGCAGCGACGCCGCGUGAGCGACGAAGUAUUUCGGUAUGUAAAGCUCUAUCAGCAGGGAAGAAAAUGACGGUACCUGACUAAGAAGCCCCGGCUAACUACGUGCCAGCAGCCGCGGUAAUACGUAGGGGGCAAGCGUUAUCCGGAUUUACUGGGUGUAAAGGGAGCGUAGACGGUCCUGCAAGCCAGAUGUGAAAGCCCGCGGCCCAACCGCGGGACUGCAUUGGGAACUACCGGGCUGGAGUGCCGGAGAGGUAGGCGGAAUUCCUAGUGUAGCGGUGAAAUGCGUAGAUAUUAGGAGGAACACCAGUGGCGAAGGCGGCCUACUGGACGGUGACUGACGCUGAGGCUCGAAAGCGUGGGGAGCAAACAGGAUUAGAUACCCUAGUA